UACAGUUUUAGAUUUUUAUAGCAUUCAACUUGAAACUUGAAACAUUUUGAAGCUAAAAACUUUUUAAAUAAAAGUGUGUGCCUGUAACGUAGAAAAGCUCCAUGCAAGAGAAUCACCCAUUAUUAGAAUGUCUUAUAAUUACUCAUAGAUAAAACUACAUUAUUAAUUUUGUGGACUAUUGUAAAUCUCCUUCUACACAAAGAUUGAUAGGCUGAGCUGUCUUUUGGAGGAACACUGCAGUUUUAUGAAUGUAGUGAAGGAGACGCAUGUACAGUAUGAUGUGGGUGACAGCUGAGAUACACACAGCAUCAUGUUCAGUCAGAUAACUUAUACUGUCUGAGGAAGUGGAAGUGUGAACUGAGAGUGACCUUCUCCUGAACUUCCGUUAAACAAACACCAUUAUUAGUAUGAUACAAAUCUUCUACACCCUCUGUAAUUUUGCUCAUUAAAGUCUAGUCCUCUAGGAAAAAUGCAGGUUUGAUAAGAUUGCAUUUCCCUAAAGGAUUUUGGAGGGCAGGAUGGCGAAUGGAUUUUCAACCCACUCCUGAUUGUCAAUUAAAGGUUAUCCAUUGCAACUGAUAGCUGAUGUGUGGUGAGUGUACUAGUGCACUUUGGCUGCCAUUGCAUCAUCCAGGUGGAUGUUACACAUUGGAUGGUGGAGAGGACUCCCCAUUACCUGUACUUUGCUUUGAGUGGAAAGUCCAGAACAGUGAUAUAUACAGGGAACAGCUGAGGAAGGCUCCAGCAUCAUCUUCCUCCCCUCCUACAUGGAUUGGACAUGGAUAAAUCAAGGGGAGCAGGGAACCAUGUUGUUGGGGAAGACCAGGACUGGAGACGCUGCCUAAAGAGUUUCAGUUUAAGGAGUACAGUUUCAUUCACUGUUCCUUGGUGUGAUGGAAGACACCAGGUUGCCGACCGGAGCUGGUUUCAGAGAAAAUUGCUUCUGGUUUUCUCACUGAGGACAUAUGUUGGUAACUGAGUUCCAUGGGGUUUCAUUGUACUGUUCAUUCAGUAAAUUACUCUGGUGACUGUAUUGCAUUAUGUGUAAGAGUAGAAUGAUAGACUGAAAUAAAUGGGAUAUUGUAUAGGAUAA